rnacentral:rRNA from 1 species
GAUGAACGCUGGCGGCGUGCCUAAUACAUGCAAGUCGAGCGAACAGACGAGGAGCUUGCUCCUCUGACGUUAGCGGCGGACGGGUGAGUAACACGUGGAUAACCUACCUAUAAGACUGGGAUAACUUCGGGAAACCGGAGCUAAUACCGGAUAAUAUAUUGAACCGCAUGGUUCAAUAGUGAAAGACGGUUUUGCUGUCACUUAUAGAUGGAUCCGCGCCGCAUUAGCUAGUUGGUAAGGUAACGGCUUACCAAGGCAACGAUGCGUAGCCGACCUGAGAGGGUGAUCGGCCCCACUGGAACUGAGACACGGUCCAGACUCCUACGGGAGGCAGCAGUAGGGAAUCUUCCGCAAUGGGCGAAAGCCUGACGGAGCAACGCCGCGUGAGUGAAUAAGGUCUUCGGAUCGUAAAACUCUGUUAUUAGGGAAGAACAAAUGUGUAAGUAACUAUGCACGUCUUGACGGUACCUAAUCAGAAAGCCACGGCUAACUACGUG